GUGGUGUUAGCUCAGCUGGUAGAAAAACUAAAAGCGCAGGUCUCAUAAUCCUGAGGUCGUGAGUUCGAAUUUAACUUCUCAUGCACCGCA
rnacentral:tRNA from 1 species